CGGACUUUCUUCUUCUGCUGCUUUCGAGUCUGGAUGAUUUUUAGAAUGGCAUCUUCUUCAUAGGAAUGUCCACAGACUUUGUUUCGAACUGGCUUCUUCAUUUCCACCUGUGUAAUGGGACAAAUGAAGUUCAUCUGACUCUGAGUCACAGCUAUAUCUUCAUCGAUUUGUUCGAUGUCGUCAUUAUCAUUACUAUCUGAUUGAAGACGAAAUUGUUUUUUCAUGUCUUUAAGUUGAUCCUUAAAAUACAUAUAUUUCUCAUUUUUUUCCAAAUCCGAGUCACUGUUCAUGCUCUCCAAUGCAGUAAAUUUUUCUUUUACUAGUGAUUUUAGAUCUGGUAUCUUUUCUGGUUUGUCUUGUUUUAUCUGAUCUACCGUUUCUUCAAUUGCUCUCAUGUAAUGAUUAAGCUCUCUGUCCAAUGCAGCAUACUCUAACAUGACAUUCUCCAUACUUCUAACAUCCUCUUCAUCAUUGAAAUUUUCCACCAGGUCAAGGGCAACGUGAGUAGCAAUAUCCAUUCCAGUAUUUAUGUAAGACUGGCAGUUUUUCAGAGAUGAAAGAGAGGAAUUCACAGAGCUGAAUGAGAUUCUUGUACCCCUCUGCAUCUUGGAAUUGUU
rnacentral:lncRNA from 1 species